AAAAUAAUUUAAUUCAUUUUCUAUUGCCUGAAUAUCUACACAUGACCAAUGGCUGGAAAUCAUAGUUAGUUCAAGCAUAAUGAAGAGCUAUCCAACUGCCCAACAACAACGGCAACAAAUUCAGAAUGAAAAGAGCUGUCUUGGAACAAAUCUCCUAUUAAAUGUCAUCAAAGAUGCCACAUUACAUUUAGCCACCAUUCUUCUUAGGGCUCCUCUUGAUUGUGGCAGUUUCUUAGACUUUCAUUGAUUGUGAUGUCCUUGAUGGUUUUGAGAAGUACUGGUCAGGUAUCCUGCAGAAUGCCUUUCACCUGGGAUUCAUCUGAUGUUUUUAUCAUGAUUAUGCUGAGAUUAAUGGUUUGGGGGAGAAAGAAUACAGAGUUUUCAGAUCUGACCCCAGAAUGAAAUCAAAUGGAUGAAUCACUAUUAAAAAUCCAGUUUGGAACUCCCCAAUAGGACACAUUUAUGUUUUUCCCUCUGAUGACAAGACUAAAAAUUUCAGAUGUGAUUAUACCAUUGAAGAAGUCACAACAACCAUGGACUGACAUAGGGCUAACACCUGCAAGAAGAACCAGAAAUACCUGGCAUUUCACCCCGGGAAGAACCCUAACAAAUGACUCCUGGCACACAAGUAGAAAAUACUCAAACUACCUCGCCCCAGGUCCAGACUGCUCUGAGGCUUCGGUCCUCCAAACGCCAGCAUGUCAUCAGAAGACUUUAAUCUUAGUUUUUCACAGAAUUCCUGCAAAAGGAGCUUAUUUCCAGCUUCGCCAUUAUUGAAGGUGAAGAAGCUGCCCAACAAUCCUUAUUUCUCCUAUGGUUUCCAAGCAUCCAGGUGUAGUGAUGUGAUAGAAAAAUCAUAAAAUGGAAAAAGCCUGCUGUCUGAAUAACCACAUAAAGGAAAUCUGCCUGCCAACUAUAACAUUUAUAUUGAACUGCCUUAAGAGUUAGAAAUAAACUUUUACUGUCUUAAUUAA